GAGUGAACGCCUGGCCGGCGUCGCGUUAACGACAUGCAAGGUCGAACGGAGUGCUCAUGGACGGAGGAUUACGGUCCAACGGAUUUGAGUUACUUAGUGGCGGACGGGUGAGUAACGCGUGAGGAACCUGCCUUGGAGUGGGGAAUAACAGCCCGAAAGGGUUGCUAAUACCGCAUGAUGCAGCUGGGUCGCAUGACCCUGGCUGCCAAAGAUUUAUCGCUCUGAGAUGGCCUCGCGUCUGAUUAGCUAGUAGGCGGGGUAACGGCCCACCUAGGCGACGAUCAGUAGCCGGACUGAGAGGUUGACCGGCCACAUUGGGACUGAGACACGGCCCAG
rnacentral:rRNA from 1 species